GCCGACGUAGCUCAGUGGUAGAGCAGGGCUUUCAUAAGGCCAAGGUCGGAGGUCCGAUCCCUCCCGUCGGCA
rnacentral:tRNA from 1 species